GUGCACGCAACGUGUUCCUCGUUCUCGACUCGAAUGGAGGAGAGCAGUCUAGAUGAACUGGAACUCAUUCGACAUGAUCAUCAAGUUGAGCUUGAGCGAAUAGAGGCGCUCUUGGUCCACGAGAGUCUGGAACAGGGUGCAGUAGCUGCCGCGCAGCCGAACUCGCUGAAGCGCGCCUGGCUGGCGGGGUUACGCGCUGGAUUGCGCGGCGGCGAAGUAGCCGGUGCGGCACACGCUGACCGUUGCUGGGCAGAGGCGCGAGUUGCGCUAUCGCAUCAUGAUCCAGGUGCGGUGCAGACGUGCGACGCUCUUCACUGAAACGCUGGUGGACGCGGAAGCGUAACUGCAGGGGCACUACGGAACAGUGCUUCGUAGACGAGUCGCGCGCGCCACUCGAGCUGAGUUUGUGCGUGAAGCUGCUAGGUUUAGGCGCUGAACAAGUCGUCAGUGGUGCGAGCUGCGGACUGCGUGUGGGUACGUCGUAGAAAGGCGGCGCGCUCGCGCUCCAGGCGCUUCUGGGUGGCCGCUAUAACGCGCUGUGUCUCUUCUACCUGACGCAGUAUAGCGUCUUGCCACGCCUGUUUCGAGAGUUUGUUCUGCGUUGGUGCGAUAGCAUCGUUCUGCUUCGGAGCGGAUACGGGCUGCACAGCGGGUUCCGGUGCCUCGACGCGCCGUCGAUGAUGCCUGGUGCGCAUAAAAUGGAUCAUCUCUCGACUUACUUGCAGGUCAUCAGGCACUUGGUCCAAUGCUAUGGACGGCUCAUCGGUGUCCAGCUCUUCGGCACGCCACGCGGACGCAUCGUGAUCGUGAUGCUUUGGCCGCCGUCGAGUCUCGGUCUUUUGUCGCGAGGCUUGAGCCGCUGCCGGGGGCUUUGCCGCGACAGCCUGGCUCCGCGACGGUGGCGCUGGCUGCGGAACCUCGUCAGGUACCGCUUGCGUUGCUUCCGGGGCGCACGGGGAUCCUGGUUCAGAGGCCGCAUCGCGCCCGCGAACUUGCGCAAGUCGGUCUACAGUUCGCAUCACCCGUUCAAUACGCUGUUCCAAACCGUGUAGCGUCCUCUCCCAGGAGUUUUGUGCGGGCUUUGGAGGUGUUUCUCCAAGUGCCGGUGGUGCUUUCUUCUCCAGGUGCGGCUCAGGUGUCGACGUGGGAGGCGGAACGGAAGCUUCUGGGCGCGGGCCCUGGAAGCGCUGCAGACUGACCAAUUGUUCGCAAAAGUGGCGCACCUCCUCGCGCCAGAAGCGAAUAUCCUCAUGGAGCGUCCGAAUGUCUCGAUGAAUGGCAUCCCAGUGGAGCACGUCCGUCGACGCUGGUGCACCGUCAGCUGCUUUGCGACCACCUGCACCAUUUCCCGCUGAUGGAGUGGCGGUUGCCGCUGGGGCGCUCAGCGGCGGUCGAGCGUUGGCCGUUCGCAUUGUCACUUCGCGAAUCUGGUCCUGGAGCUGCUGCUCACGAGUGAUCGACUGGCUGAGCUCCAUACACAACUGAUGAAUGUGACGGUCGCGAUCUGCGAUCAUUUCUUCGAGCGAGCGACAGCGGCUCUGGUAAUGCAUGAACUCGGCGCGCAGUCGCUCGACAUGCUGGUCUUGCGGCUCUCGCUCAGCCUGAACGGCGGCCGCAUGCGAUUCUGCGGCGCGAGUGGUGUUGCGUUCGUUUUCCUCAGUACUGGGAGGAGCGGAUGCCGCUUUCAAUGUUUCAUAUCCGCUGCUGUGAGACAAGUAAUUUCCAGUUUCCGGUUUCUUCACGUUUGCUUCCGUCGCAGCAGUGCUGUGUUCACCGGCUGGAGCUUUUGCUUGCAGCUCCCGCUCCAAAGUAGCAAUACGCCUGAUGGCUUCGUGGAGUUUCUCGGCAAGCUCAUCGCGUUCGCUCUGGCACAAUUCCAGUUCCUCCUGUUGUCGUUGGCUUUCCAGUUCUAUGCUCUUGAGUCGCGCCUGCAGGGCGUCCAGUUCGGAAUCGCCUGCUUCUAGGCGCGCCUGCAGGUGUUCGAUGUGGCCGAGCGCUUGCGCGUGCUCGAGACUCAACUGAGCGUGACUGCGGCAUUCUGCCGCGAGUUUCUCUUGUGUCUCUUUCAACGUUUUUUGCGCGUGAUGGAGCUCCUCGCGCUCCGCAGACUCCCUGUGCCGCAGCUGCUCCUCUGUUAACUGCCAGUGCUCGCGCUCCUUCUCAUGGGCCUCCACUAGGCGGCGCACACGCUCCAUCGCGUCACUGGUCGUCCUGGUCAGGGUAGACUCCAGCUCGCGGCAUCGUUGCUCAGCGUGGCGGCAUGCAUCCUCCGCGGCAGCAACUCGUUCGUUCGAGGUGGCCUGCUCGGUCCGAACAGCUUCGAGUGCCGAUGCGAGGGCGUCGCGCUCCUUUUGUGCUGCAGUCAGCCGUUCCUGCAGCUCGGUUUGCACGGCGGGCUCGCGAGCUGCAUGCGUCGUGGCUUUUUCAAGAGCUCGUUGAAGCAUAGUUCUCUGUUCAUCGGAUUCUUUCAGAAGGCUU
rnacentral:misc_RNA from 1 species